rnacentral:rRNA from 1 species
CUUUGAACGCACCUUGCGCUCCUUGGUAUUCCGAGGAGCAUGCCUGUUUGAGUGUCAUUAAAUUCUCAACCUUCCAUGUUUUAUUAGCAUGGUUAGGCUUGGAUGUGGGGGUUGCGGGCUUCAUCAAUGAUGUCGGCUCUCCUUAAAUGCAUUAGCGGAACUUUUGUGGACCGUCUAUUGGUGUGAUAGUUAUCUACGCCGUGGAUGUGAUGCAGCUUUAUGAAGUUCAGCUUCUAACCGUCCAUUGACUUGGACAAUUUUGACAAUUUGACCUCAAAUCAGGUAGGACUACCCGCUGAACUUAAGCAUAUCAAUAAGCGGAGG